rnacentral:rRNA from 1 species
ACGUCAAGUCCUCAUGGCCCUUACGGGCUGGGCUACACACGUGCUACAAUGGCGGUGAUAGUGAGAUGCAAGGGCGCAAGCCGGAGCGAAUCUCUAAAAGCCGCCCCAGUUCGGAUUGCACUCUGCAACUCGGGUGCAUGAAGUCGGAAUCGCUAGUAAUCGUGGAUCAGCAUGCCACGGUGAAUACGUUCCCGGGCCUU